GGAAGCGGCCCCCUCAGACACGUGGGACUCCCAAACCGCUCUGGCUGGGGAGGACCGUGGCCCGGUUCCAGUGGCUGGCGAAGUGGCUUCGGGGCUGGCUUGUGAAUCGUGGGUGUCUCCCACUGCGUGAGCACCCCUGCUGGUCUCUGCACGGGCCCCCGGAGCUGGGGUUUGGCUGAGGUUUUCCGGGGCUGAUAAUCAUCUCCUCCCCCCAUCGAAGUUUAUCUUAACGACUACCGAGAUACCCUACAUUUCUGAAGAGCCUCUGUGCCAGCUGCUUUUCUAAGUGCUUCACACCUUUGAACUGACAAUGUCUGCUGUUCCAGGCAGACGGGAAGGUGGUUCCCAUUUUCCAGUGUGACUGAGAGAAAGAGGAGGCAGGUGGAUGGAGACCGAAGCGGCCUUUUUAUUACCCAAGAGAGGAUGUCACAGACCACGCUUGGCCCUGCCAGGUUUCCUCGCCAAGUGGACUUGCCAAUUCUCCCCUAAAGCCGCCUGCAUGGGGAGCAGGGCACGGCAUGCAGAGGGCAGCCCGUCCCUUCUCCCAAACGCGCUGGCCGGGGAAGCCGCCCCUCUCUUGGGAAACGGACAAGCGCGACGGAGAGAGGUCCAGGAUCUCCACGGGGAGAUGCCGCCCCCAGCAGCGGCGAAGGAGCGAUGCUCUGGCAGGAGAGUGCUCCGAGAGAGAAGCUGUCUAACAGAGGAGCUCCGAGCAGGCCGGGGGGAGGACCCAGACGGCACGUGCAAAGGUCCCGUGGCAGAAAGAGGCUGGUCUGCUCCAGAGUACGGCCUGAGUGGCAGACAGUGACAAUCACAGAGAGCGGUGGACGAAGAAAGUCAGUGGCCAUUUCUGCAUUUUCCUAUGGGUCACCUGAGCGUAGCAAGAAGAAGAUGAAUCAGUUUCUCUACACCUUUCCCAAGAGAACCCGCAACCAUAACGCGGGUUAGGUUGGUUAUUUCCGUACUGAGCCGUUUACGGUACCGACGCUUCAUGCCCGACUCCCCGACGCCUCCUGGGAGCCGCGUGUCUGCGCCAAAGGAAGCGGCGUGACCGAAAGCAUAGGAUGAAAGCACAGGAUGCGGUUAACAGGUCUCCAAACUCCUCCUUUCGCUUUCCAUCCGGCCUGACCCCCCUAGGAAGCGCCUUCGUCAGUCCUUGGGCUCGUGUGGACAGAGGGCUUCUGCGCGCAGACUCAGACCCGGGCAGCAGGUGCCUCGGGGUGCGGGUGGCCGGAAGUGGGGGACCACCGAAGGCGGGAGCAUCAGGCCGGUUCUCUGAGGCAAAGACAGACCUCAAGCCCGCGAAGAGCUGGGAAAGGGCGGUCGGGGGAAGGACACGGGAGGCCCACAGAACGUAAGGAAAA